AUAAGGCCAGAAUUUUUUAAUUUGUUGGUUUACGGAUCCGCCGACCCGAUUUUGCCGAUUUUCAGAAUAAAAAUAAAAUUGACUUUCAUGCUUUUUUAUUCCCGCCGACCUUAACAAAUGCAUUAUCCCUGAAAAAUAAUUAAACAAUCUUUUUUUUUAUGAAAUGAAAUGCUUUAAUCACUAACAAAAUUGAUAACACUUUCUGUAGUGAAAAAAUAAAACUUCCAGUUUACGUUUCUAACAAUUGACAAAUCAAUUAUAAAUGACCUUGAAAUGUCGUUUGCGCAAAUAAUUUUUGCGAAACGAAACCUGUGUUUAAAACCAACUACACAAUGAGUUCGUUUCCCGUAUUUGUAAUCAGUCCGUAAGAUGCAUCAUCUGAUAGAAAUAGACUUGUCCAAAUGUACACAGGUGGAAGACAUCAAGUUAAAGUACUGAAUAUUAGAUAAUCAUUUUGAAUUUUCUUGUUUUAUAGAUAAUAAAAAAAUAUCGUCCAUUUGGACAUGUUGGAUAAAAAACGGGAAUGCAUGACAACAGAUUAACCCGAUAUUCUCGUUUUUCCAGUGGACGAGUCUAUUUCGUUUUUGACACGUGUGUUGAAACUUAUUUUCGUACGACGUUUUUACAUUUUUUUCUUAAUCAGUUUUCGUGCUUGAAGAUCAUACUUCAACAAGUUUUCUGGAGUUGAUAAAGAGCUACGCGAAUCUGUUUUUCUUGUUUGUGAAAUGACAAUUUAAUUUCGUCUUUUCCGUGCAUCCCCCCUUUUUGUACGGAAAAUUAUUAGAAUGUCAUGCGAUGUUUAUGACAGCUGAGCAAUACAAAAUAGCAUAACAAACAUAUUGUCAGAAAGGUGAAAUAUAUAUUUAUUUGCAUAUUUUUCUGUCUUGAAAGAUAUUUUUUUUCUUUUUUUUCCCCGACCGACCGACCCGACUUUUUCAUGGGGAAAAUCCGUAAACCAACAAAUUAAAAAACCCUGGCCUA
rnacentral:lncRNA from 1 species